GCAGCUUCCUGCCUGACUCGCAGGCGCACACCUGUCCUUUCCCAAGGUCCUCCUGGGGGACGUCAAGCACACACCUGUGGGGCCUGUAGAAUCAAGCUUUUUUUUUUUCCUUGAAUUUUUAUUUUUUUUAAAGGUUUACUUGAAAGUCAGUUACCGAGAGAGUCGAGCUUAUUUUUUAAAACUAGAGGCUUACCUGAACAUCUUGCUCCCCCAAGCACAGAACCUAACAAUUCCCAUGCUCUCUCUAAUCUGGUCUUCUACUAUUUUGUUGGUUGCCCCAAUCAAUUAACACAUUUCCACAUAGAGCUUAAGAAACCUUGUGCCCACCCCCACCCCCCAUUGAAAUAUUAAGGAAUUCAGCUGUAAAAGCUUCCUGGCCCAGGAUUUGGGGGGGGGGGUGUCGAGGUUUCUUUCAUUUUUUAAAAAAAUAUUAUUUAUUUAUUUGAGUGCUAGUUAGAGAGAGAGGGAAAGACAGAGAGAAAGGUCUUCCAUCAGCUGGUUCACUCCCCAGAUGGCCAGAGCUGGGCCAAUCAGAAGCCAGGAGCUUCUUCUGGGUGCGGGGACAGAGCCUUCCAAGUGAGAACUCUGGUGGCUGCUUCAGUCACAGGAGCUGCAGACCCCGGCCCACUCAGAGGACGGGGUCGUGCACACUUCCGCUAAGACAAGCAAGCCCCGCACAGAGACCUGGGGAGCGCGGCCCGCUGGACGCUGGGGGUGGACAGCCCAGCAGGCCCCGCGCGCUCCCGGCGGGGAGGCCAGCCCAGGUCCCCAAGCCCCCGGGCGCCCCGCGGCCCAGGAAGCGAGCCGCGCGCCAGGACCGCGGGCCCCCACGCCCCUCCCCGCCGCACGGCGGCGCUGCGCAAGGCCGGCCGUUGUCCGGGGCCGUUGGGCGCCCACGUGGCUUCUGGACGCCUGGAGGCCGGCGCGGGGGCGGGCGCCAUUACGAGAGGCCGGGGGCGCGGGGUGGAGCCGACGAGGAGCCCAGAGCGCGCCCGCGGCGGCGGCGUCGGGUGGGAAGACGAGGCGCGGCACUGGGGGGCGUGGCGGCCGGCCUGCAGGCGGGGGCGCGUCCAGGGCAGGAAGCUGGAGUCCCCGUCGAGCUGGUGGGCGCGGCCCCCGCAGAGGCCUGAGGCGUCCGGCGCGAUGGCAGGGGCCGCCCCCGGGGCGGCGGCAGGGGCCGCGCGGCUCGCCACGCCCGCCACGCCCGCCACGCCCGCCGCCGGGCGCGUCGUCCAGGGCGAGCGGGCCAGAGGCGCGGCGAAGAUGCUCCAGGUCCUGGUGCUCCAGGAGCUGACCAUGUUCGCGUGUGUCCCUUUGUGUGUGUGUGUCCUAUGGAGCUCAGCACCUGUGCUUUCUCCAGCGCCACCCUCGCCUGAUGGCUGUAGUCUCACAGCUGAGACUGGGACUUGAGGUUGAAGAUCCAGAUUGCUUCUGGGUUAUUAUAAAAGGAUGUAGUCCCUUUUUGGAUCAUGAAGUCGACUAUCAAAAACUAAAUAGCGCCAUGAAUGACUUCUAUAACAGCAUGUGUAAAGAUACAGAAAUAAAACCAUUAAUGUUGGAAGAAGGACAGGUCUGUGUGGUGUAUUGUCCGGAGCUACGGUGCUGGUGCAGGGCCGUCAUUAAGUCAGUCAUGUCUUCAGCAGACCAUUACCUGGCAGAGUGUUUCCUUGUAGACUUCGCCAGGUACAUUCCAGUAAAAUCUAAAAACAUCCGAGUUGCAGUGGAAUCAUUUAUGCAGCUUCCCUACAGAGCAAAAAGUUCCGGUUGUACUGCAUGAAGCCUGUUACAUUGCACAUUGACUUCUGUGAAGACAGCGCCGAGAUUGUGUAAGUACAGGUUCUGAAGUCACAGGAAUCAUGAGUAAACGCCUUCAGUUCAUGUCUGCAUUUAUGUGCCAUCAGUUACCCGCGAGCAGGUUUUGAAGGUCUGGGUUCUGCAGGAGGCAGCCUCUGAGUUGGUGCUGGUCAAACUGGCUGUGAGUAGAAUUCUCAGGCACCCCCUCCCGGGCCUGAGCUCUGUGCCUUUUGACUUAAAAAAACAACUUAUAAAAAGUAGUAGAGUAAUUCUAAAGAAAAGCUUUCUUGAAAUAAAACUGCUGGAGCAUUAAAAAAAAGUUGACCACAUGCCUGCCUCUGUCCCACGUCUUUCCUCCUGGAGGCCUCUGUGGGCUGUGACCUUCCCACCCUCCAUUGGUGCACUUACAUACCCAUGUGAUCGUGGGUCCUGCCCUCUGUCAGUGCACUUACACACCCCUGUGCGCCUGGAUCUCGCCCUCUGUCAGUGCACUUACACACCCCUGUGCGCCUGGAUCCUGCCCUCUGUUAGUGCACUUACACCCCCUUGAGCCUGGAUCCCGCCCUCUGUCGGUGCACUUACACACCCCUGUGAGCCUGGAUCCGCCCUCUGUCUGCACUUACACCCCCUUGAGCCUGGAUCCUACCCUCUGUCCAUGAGGUUAGACACCUCUCUGGGCAUGGACUUUCUUAGGAAGAGAACAGGCUGUCUUGUUUGCAGAAUUAGCUUAGGAGUAGCUGUGGAGGUUCUUUGCCAAUCCAUAUCCCUCUCCUAACCACUUUGAGUCUUUUUCAUGGGUGACUAUGACUGAUGUGGUUAUUGGAUUUAACCAGUUUCUUCUUGACAGCCAGCUAGAUUUUCAAGCCAUUUUGUGCUGUGUGUUCCCAUAAGAAUGUGGGUAUAUCCACGUAACUUACAUCCCUGUCACGGCUCCUUCUUCCUGGUGUGUGGUUACUGUGUGAUGGUUCCCUAGAGUGGGCCCCUGCACCAGGCUGUAUUCUGCACGGUGUGCCUGUGAUCUCUGCUCUUUAAGGAGCACUACUGAGGGCUGGAUUUCUGUUUCUGUAGUCUGUGGGGCAGCCACUCUCACCUGGAGCUCCUCUGUCUCUCACUUCCCAGACUGUGGUGUUAACAGAAGAAAGGCUGUAUAGGGAGCAGCCCAGUCCUGUCUCUAUUUGCAUAAGCUGGUACUGGUGCACUGUGCGCCCUGAACUCGGAAGUUACCUCUGCUCUGUGGCCCCUUUGGAGACCUCGUGCUCCACGCCCCACCAUGCCCAUCACCACAGUUCCCUUGGGAGGUGAGUGCAUCACUCUUGGGACCAGCCUCAGAGUAGUAUGCUCCAGUAAGCCAGCUUGUCUCUGCUUGGGUCCGUGUGUCCUGCUCGGCUGCUCUCUGGCAUCCUGCUCCGUGCUUGUGCACUUCUGCUCUGCAGUGAGGAGACCCGCUGAGCAGCCCCUGUGCUGUUCCUCUCGCAGAGCAGCCAGCUGCAGGCCAUCCAGGUGUGGUUUGGGCAGCAGCUUGUGCUCCCCAGCUACCCCUUGGGCAACCCGUUUCCUGUCCUUCUCACCCCCUUCCUACUGACCCCCUUUCCAGGACUACUGGGGUCUUUUCCACCCUCAGGAUACCCCUGGGGUAGGUGGAGGACUUAAGAGUAAGUUCGUUUUUUUUUUUUAAUUUGCCAAGGAUUUUUCUUGAAGAGUUGAAAAGAAAGGGGGAGAGAUCUUCCAUUUGCUGGUUUCCUCCUUAGAUGGCUGUGAUGGUUGAGACUGAGCCAGGCUGAAGCCCGGAGCCUGGACCUCCAUCUAGUUUCCCAAACGGGUGGCAGGGCCCAAGGAUUUGGUCCAUCUUCCACUGCUUUCCCAGGAGCAUUAACUGGAUUGGAAGUGGAGCAGCCAGGACUUAAACGGGCACCCAUUUGGGAUGCUGGCGUUGCAGGCAGCAGCUUAACCAGCCACGCCAUGGUGCCGGCCCCAAGAGGAACUUUUCUUACUGGGUUUUCAUCGUCAUCUUUGGCAGGUGAUGCCUUUGCACUCACAUGUUAUUAAGAAUAGUUUUCUUAAUGUGUAUUACAGUUUUUGACAGAUUUGUCAGAUUUCCCUCCAGAAAGAUUAUAGCAAUUUAUACUAUCAUUAUUGGGGUUUCUUUUCCUAUACAACCUCAUUAAUAGGCUUUUUUUUAAAAAAAAGAUUUUAUUUAUCUACUUGAAGGAGUUACACAGAGGAGAGGCAGAGAGAAAGAGGUCUUCCAUCCGCUGGUUCACUCCCCAGUUGGCUGCAAUGGCCAGAGCUGUGCCGAUCCGAAGCCAGGAGCCAGGAACUUCCCCAGGUCUUCCCACAUGGGUGCAGGGGCCCAAGGACUUGGGCCAUCUUCUACUGCUUUCCCAGACCAUAGCAGAGAGCUGGAUCAGAAGAGGAGCAGCCGGGACUUGAACUGACACACAUAUGUGAUGCCAGCACUGCAGGCAGUGGCUUUACCUGCUGCACCACAGCACCGGCCCUGUUACUAGGCUUUUUAAUUUCUGCUUGUUUGCUGGGUGAACAUGAUCUCUUGUUUUAACUUGCAUUUUUUCACUUGCAAAGUUGGGUAUCUCUUUAGUGUUUAUUGUGUGUGUGUGGAGAGAGACUGAUUUACCUGUUAUUUUAGAUUGAUAUUUCUCUUCAGUUAUUUGACUUUAUCUUAUUAGAAAUCUAAUAUUUGUUAAAAAAGAAAAGCUCAUUAAGUAUUUUUUAUGUGAAUAGUUUUAGAACUGCUAUAUUGUACUUUAUCCUUGUAAUUUUUUUAUUUGAAAGUCAGAGUUAGCGAGAGAGAGAGAAAUAUCUUCUAUCUACUGGCUUACUCCCCAGAUGGCCACAAUGGCUGGUUCUGGGCCAGGUGGAAUCUGGGAGCUCCAUCUGGGUCUCCCAUGGUGGUAGCAGUGGCCCAAGCACUUGGGCUACAUUCUGCUGCUUUUCCUAGGCCAUCAGCAGGGAGCUGGAUUGGAAGUAGAGCAGCCUGGAAAUGAACCGGUGCCCAUAAUGGGAUGGUGGCUUCACAGACAGACGGUGGCUCCACCUGGUACCCCGUAACACCUGCCCCCUGUAAUUAUCUAGAUGUAGUGUAGAUACUACCUUUCUUAGUAAAAAUAAAAAUAACUACUACUUUUGAACAUUGAUUAUGUCCAGGCUGUGGGGUAAAUGUUCUCUAUAUACUUCCUCAUUUGAUUUUUUUUUUUUUUUUUUUUUUUUUUGGUAAGAGUUAGAAGUAGAUAGUCAGCGAGAGAGCAACUCCAUUCCUUCCAUUAGUUCACUCGCCAAAAAUCCGCAGUGGCCAGAGCUGAGCUGAUCCAAAGCCAGGAGCCAAGAGUUUCUUCCAGGUCUUCCACGCAGGUGCAGAGACCCAAGGACUUGGGCCAUCCUCUACUGCUUUCCCAGGCCAUAGCAUAGAACUGGAUCAGAAGAGGAGCAGCCAGGACACGAACCAGUGCCCAUAUGGGAUGCCAGCACUGCAGGCUGGGGCUUUAACCCACUGCACAACAGCACGCCCCCCCCCCAUUUGAUCUUUAAAACAACUCUUGGAAGGAAUGGAUCUUGUGAUACAGCCGAUUAAGCCACUGCUUGGGGCACCUUUGGUUCCAUACUAGAGCACCUGAUGUAAGUCCUGGCUGCCCACUUCCAGGACAGCUUCCUGCUAGUGCCCUAGGAGACAGCAAAUGGUGGAUCGAAUCCUGAAUACCUGCCACCUGUGAGGGAGACCUGAGUGGAGUUCCGGGCUCCUGGUUUCGGCAUGGUCCAGGCCCAGUUGUUGAAGACAUUUGGAGAGUGAACCAGUAGAUAGAAGAUUUCUCUCUCUCUCUUGCCCUCUCUGAUGCUCUGCCUUUCAAAUAAAUAAAAAUGAAUAAACAUUUAAAAAACUAAAAUAACUCUUGAAGUAUGGUGGUAGCAUAUGUGAUAGAUCCAAACAAGAGAAAUGUAAAAUAUUUUAUUCUGAUCUUGACUUUUUAUUUUAUUUUUAUUCCUUCUAAAUACUGGUUUCUCCUGAUUUUCUACUGCCUAUACCUUGUCCUAUGAUUUUCUUUCCAAAGCAUAGGCGAGAUGUAGAAAGGUUAAGUUGAUAGAGAUCAAAUGGGAGGUGGCGAAUGGGUGCUCUAGUGGGCAGAGUGAGGACCAUAGCAGCCGCUUCCCCACAGCUGCCCCUACACUGUUGGCUUAGCCGACAUGUACUGAUCCCUCUCUGUGCCAGCCUGUGGAGACGCAGUGAUCUCAGAAUCGCUGCCCCAGGGAGCUUGUGUUUUGAUUUGUCACAGGUAACUGAUGUUGCAGCAGACAGUGCCAGGUGGUGAGCACAGGUCACCUCACUGGGGCCCUGGGAUGUGAGUUUGUGUUGGUGCAAGCAGCAGUGUGGAGAGAGGUGUGUCACAGGAAGUAGCUGGGGUCUUUAUCCCCACCCGGAGCAGGGCCAGAGCUAUGCUCUCUGUUGUGUGCAUCGUGUGCUUGAUUGGUCAUGCAGAAAGAGCCCUGUGUGUGGUUUACAAAGCAAGAUAGUGUACUAACUAAAGUGUCCUUGGCCCUCACCGGAGUGUUGCAGUGUUCCCACUGGUUUCCUUUUUCUGGUCCAGGGUCUGAGCCAGGCCUCCAGCUUGCCUCCAGUGUCCUGUCUGGUUAGUCUCCCAGAGUCUGGGACAGUUCUUCAGUCUUCCUUCAUGGCCUGGACGCUUCUGAAGAGUCCUGGUCAGUUAUGCUGCAGAGGAACGUUCAGUUUGACUUGGCCUGAUGUUCUCAUGAUCAGACUGAGGUUGUGCGUGUUGGCAGAGAGAGAGAGGUCUGCCAUCCACUGGUUCACUCCCCAACUGGCUGCGACGGCUGGAGCUACGCCGAUCCAAAGCCAGGAGCCAGGAGCUUCCUCUGGGUUUCACACACAGGUGCAGGAGCCCAGGGACUUGGGCCAUUUUCUGCUUUCCCAGGCCAUAGCAGAGAGCUGGAUCGGAAGUGGGGCAGCUGGGACUAGAACUGGCACCUGUAUGCCAUGCCAGCACUGCAGGCAGCAGCUUUACCUGCAACACCACAGCGCCAGGCCCUAUCAGGCAUUCUGAAUUUGCUACGGUGAGGUUCACUUUUUCCAUCAUUCCUUCUACAGUUUUAAAACUUUAAUUAUCUUUUUUAAAAA